ACUUGUACUGAUUGAGAUUUUAACACGAAGUGAGUGGCGAACGGGUGAGUAACACGUGGGUAACCUGCCCAGAAGUAGGGGAUAACACCUGGAAACAGAUGCUAAUACCGUAUAACAGAGAAAACCGCAUGGUUUUCUUUUAAAAGAUGGCUCUGCUAUCACUUCUGGAUGGACCCGCGGCGUAUUAGCUAGUUGGUGAGGUAAAGGCUCACCAAGGCAGUGAUACGUAGCCGACCUGAGAGGGUAAUCGGCCACAUUGGGACUGAGACACGGCCCAGACUCCUACGGGAGGCAGCAGUAGGGAAUCUUCCACAAUGGACGCAAGUCUGAUGGAGCAACGCCGCGUGAGUGAAGAAGGGUUUCGGCUCGUAAAGCUCUGUUGUUAAAGAAGAACGUGGGUAAGAGUAACUGUUUACCCAGUGACGGUAUUUAACCAGAAAGCCACGGCUAACUACGUGCCAGCAGCCGCGGUAAUACGUAGGUGGCAAGCGUUAUCCGGAUUUAUUGGGCGUAAAGCGAGCGCAGGCGGUCUUUUAAGUCUAAUGUGAAAGCCUUCGGCUCAACCGAAGAAGUGCAUUGGAAACUGGGAGACUUGAGUGCAGAAGAGGACAGUGGAACUCCAUGUGUAGCGGUGAAAUGCGUAGAUAUAUGGAAGAACACCAGUGGCGAAGGCGGCUGUCUGGUCUGCAACUGACGCUGAGGCUCGAAAGCAUGGGUAGCGAACAGGAUUAGAUACCCUGGUAGUCCAUGCCGUAAACGAUGAUUACUAAGUGUUGGAGGGUUUCCGCCCUUCAGUGCUGCAGCUAACGCAUUAAGUAAUCCGCCUGGGGAGUACGACCGCAAGGUUGAAACUCAAAAGAAUUGACGGGGGCCCGCACAAGCGGUGGAGCAUGUGGUUUAAUUCGAAGCUACGCGAAGAACCUUACCAGGUCUUGACAUCUUCUGACAGUCUAAGAGAUUAGAGGUUCCCUUCGGGGACAGAAUGACAGGUGGUGCAUGGUUGUCGUCAGCUCGUGUCGUGAGAUGUUGGGUUAAGUCCCGCAACGAGCGCAACCCUUAUUACUAGUUGCCAGCAUUAAGUUGGGCACUCUAGUGAGACUGCCGGUGACAAACCGGAGGAAGGUGGGGACGACGUCAAAUCAUCAUGCCCCUUAUGACCUGGGCUACACACGUGCUACAAUGGAUGGUACAACGAGUCGCGAGACCGCGAGGUUAAGCUAAUCUCUUAAAACCAUUCUCAGUUCGGACUGUAGGCUGCAACUCGCCUACACGAAGUCGGAAUCGCUAGUAAUCGCGGAUCAGCAUGCCGCGGUGAAUACGUUCCCGGGCCUUGUACACACCGCCCGUCACACCAUGAGAGUU
rnacentral:rRNA from 1 species